GUCUACAGCCAUGCAACCCUGAACAAGCCCGAUCCCGUCUGAUGUCGGAAGCUAAGCAGGGUUGGGCCACCCAGGGAUGGGAGACCACCUAGGAAGACCAGGUGCUGUAGGCG
rnacentral:rRNA from 1 species